rnacentral:misc_RNA from 1 species
GAAGAUGGUAUAUAACUGCAGGUUAAAGAUCUCCCCCACACCAAAUAAAAAAAACUUUAGUAGGACAAAAUUCCAGAUGAAUACCACAAUUUAAAACAACAUAAAUAAAAAUCUAACUCACAAUGGUCCAUAAAUCAUGAUACGAAUAUUCCAUAAGAUCACAAUUUUUUUCCAUGACUAUAAAUAUCUAUCUCACUCAAGGUCGUAAAGAACCAUCGCGUCAAGCAAUCCAUCCAAUCAAGAGAUCACUUGGGGCCAAUAUCCUUCAAAGCAUUAAUCUGUUCCUCACCCAUAGCUGACAUAACAGACACAACGAGGUCCUUACCCUCGGCAAACCCGUCCUUGAUCAGUGAAAGCAGAUUUUCAUCAGUAGGAAGCCUGAGGUCAUCCUUGGUGUUACCAUUGUCAGUAAGCAGACUCACAAAUCCAUCUUCAGAGAUGUCAAUAAGCUGAUAAUCUGUACGAUUAACAUGGGGCACAUCACAAUUGUGUGAAGAGGGGACAAUAUCCUCAAGCUUCUUCCCAGUGAAGAUGUCAAUAGCAACGAAAUGACAUUUGGCGUGACCGUGCUUGCCAGUUUUGGAUGUAGAGACUUCCACAACCUUGCAUGGACGGCCUUUGAUGACGAUAUAACCGUUCUUACGAAUAGUACCAGCUUGUUGAGGGUAAGUUUUUGAUGCUCCGGCAUCAGCCUUAGACUCAAAUUGAUGCUCCUCGUCAGACAUGGCUGAAAAAUUCGAUUGAACGGAGAAGGAGAAGGAGAAAAAUUCAGGAAGUAGAAUGGGUGGCGAGGGAGGCGAAGAGCACGUGAGGGACUAUUU